AACCACCAUACUGUUUUCCACAGUGGCUGCACCAUUUUACCUUCCUACCAGCAUUACUCAAGGGUUCCAAUUUCUCCACAUCCUCACCAACACGUGUUAUUUUCAAAGACGAUCAAUAUCAUCAAUAAGAGUUCUGGAACAAGCAUGGACAUUGGACCCAGAGACAUUGGCCCACUUGGCUUCUUGGGAUUGACCCAUCCUAGUUAUUCAAGUCAUCUUGCCAAUUUCUGUAGGUUGGGAAUCAGAGAGCAGCUUAGCUGGGUGGUUCUGACUCAGGAUCUUUCACGAGGCUGCAAUCAGUCUGUCAGCCAAGGCUGCAGUCAUCUGAGGCAGGAUUGACUUCCAACACAUUCAUGUGGCUGUUGGCAGGAGGCUUCCCUUUGCCGUGUGGACCUGUUCCUGGGCUCCUCACCACGUAGCUUCCUCCAAUGUGAGUGGUCUGAAAGAAUGAGGGCCAGUGCCCAAAAUGGAAGCCAUAGUCUUUUUAUGACCUAAUCUCAGAAGUGACAUACCAUCACUUCUGGUGUUUGCUAUUGGUUACUCAGAUCAACCCUGGUAGAGUUUGGGAGGACACACACACACAGCUGUGACUAUAAAGAGGUAGGUAUCACCAGCAGGACUGAGAGAUCAACAGAUAAUGCAUUGUUGGGCUUUUCUUCUUCCGUAUGUCACCCUCCUUGUUACCUCCCUUCUGUUUCCUGAGAUCACCCUCCCCCCAACCCAGACCCAUCCAAAACGGACUGAAACCUAAGUCUGACUAAGAUUCUCAUUUUAGAGGAGCCCUACAUAAGAGAAAUCCUGGUCCAUUAUACAAAAUGUCAGUCAAGGUCUUCCUUGAAUUUUGUUAGUUUAGAAAAAAAUGACCUCACUGCAAUUUUUUAACUUUUUGUUUGGAAAGAAUUUAAAACAUCAAGUUGCAAUGAUAGUAUAAUGAGCCCCCAUAUACCUUCACCCAGAUUCACCAAUUUUUAAUGCUUUGCCACCUUUACUUUUAUUCUCAAUGGCCAACAUUUUAAAUCUAAGUAAAAUAUCAAGUAUCAUUCAUGCUUUGCUUUUAUUCUAUAUUCAAAAUGUAAUUUAAUUUAAUUUCAUUUUUAUUUAAUUUGUAGUUUUCUCAGGGGACACCCCUUAAUCUCCUUCCAUUUGGUUUUCUUGUCUGAAGUGUGAAGAUAAUAACAUUUAUGGGUUAAGGUUGUUAUAAGGGUUGAGUGAGUUAGUACGCACAAGGCGUUCAGCACAGGGCCUGGCACACAGUAAGCAUUCAACAAACACCUUACAUUCAUUCAUUUUUAUUAACAAAUAUUUAUUGAGAAAGUUGUUGCUAUUGUUCUUAUUAUGUGUCUUUGAUGACUGAUAAAUAAUUCAAUCCCAGGCAGUAAGCACCAGUAGGAGUUAAAACUGUAAUAUGUUGACACAGAUGAAAUAAACUAAUGUUGGAGUUUUGCUUCAAAAUAAUUUGCGUGAGAAGUGGGUAGGGAUGUAGAUGAAACAAGAUUUUGAAGCUGAAUGAUGGGUACAUGAAGUUUCAUUAUAUUAUCUUCUUUUUUGUGUAUGUUUGAAAUUUUCCAUAAUACAAAGUUAGAAAAAAAAGUACAAAGACACAGAUGUACAUAUCAAAUUAACCACUCUCAAAUGCCUAGUAAAUGUCACAUUUUCUCCGAGUUGGGUCAUUUAAUGGGCUUGAAAAAUAGUCAAAUGAGACAAUGAAUCUUAAGCUUCUGUCAGCCACAGAAGUCGGCUUCCUAUACCUGCACCAUUAAUAUGACAGUCACUUUUCCACCUUAUUUUAGUAUUGAGCUUUGACAGAAAUUAUGUCCAGACAUUUUACCCAUAGGCUAUGAACAAUAAAUUGUUUAUUUAUGUCAGAUUUAUUUCAUUAUAUAGACAUUCAUGAAAUUAUAUUUAUAAAUUUAUAGAUUUAUAUAUCUUAAAUCUAAUCAAUGUAAGCCUUAAUUAAUGGGAGCCCAAACAUUUUCUGUGCAGUGAAGCUGGUAUAGUUUAAAUUUGUAUUAAGCAUGGCUGGCUAUAUUCUGAGAGCCAAGCAGCAAAAUUUUCUUGAAUUAUUAUUUUACUUUAUUACUUUGAUAGGAAGAAAGAAAUAUAAACAAUAGAAAAGUGCUAAACUUGUAUAGUUUCCAAGAUAGAGGACCCUGAGCUUUUUAGGUAACCUCUUGAAUGUGGCCUUAAAAUGACUUUUCAGAUGAACACACAUGUGUUCCACUCUUCCCACCUUUUCCAAAAUCACUCCAUUAAUUAUCUCCUCCCCAAACUGAUUCUUCAAUCUCCCUCCACAUUCUUGCUUAUUGUGGUUUUGUGGACUAAUCUGAUCUGGUAUUCCUUAUCUGAAAAUACAACAACUCUCCCCAGGCACCAAAAUCUUGCUGAUGCACAGGAAGAGGACAAGAGUAUAUGGUGUAGGUAGUAAGACAUUGUGGACAGAGAAAACAGUGGCUGCUCAAUGUCCCAAAGGCAGAGGACAUGAAUAGAGGCACUGGUUUCCUUCAAGCUCCUCCUCACAAGUCCAUCUUUGGGCAGCAUGUCCCAGGGUAAAUGAGACCAGAUAUAUGUUUAAUAAUAAUAGAGGAGGCCCCCAAGCAACUCUGAAUAGGCCAGCAAGUAAAGAAUAAAAUAACAAAUUACACAAAGAAAUAUCAGCCAAGGGUUUGAUUGAUCCCCUUUAAGCCCAGAACCAGCUCUAGCCUCAUUCUUCAUGAUCCAUUCUGCCUACCCCUGCUUGCAGAAGAAGCUGAGAGUCUGACUUCAUUCUUUCAUCAGAAAUACAUGGUUUCAGGGUCACCUGAGUGGCUCAGCUGGUUAAGCCUCUGACUUCAGCUCAGGUCAUGAUCUCCCCGUUCGUUAGUUACAGCCUGGUUAUGGGCUCUGUGCUUACAGCUCAGAGCCUGGAGCCUGCUUUCAGAUUCUGUGUCUCCCCCUCUCUCUACCCAUCCCCCCCUCUAAAAACUAGAUAAACAUUAAAAAAAAUACAUGGUUUCAGAACAUGGAAGUGACAUUUUAAGAAGCAAUGGAAAAAAAUAAAGACAUUCUUUUUCAUGGAAAAAAAAGCAAUAGAUUCUAAAUGAAGGCCUUUACUGCUGGUAACAUCUGGAAAAAGGGGAAUUCAAAUUUUUCUCAUCUCCGUCCUUACAUAUAUGAACUCUUUGGAAGGACUCAGUGAAAACAAACUCAGUUGGGCUUUUUUUUUGUUUUAAAAAUUUUUUUGUGUGUGGUUUAUAUAUACAAUGGAAUACUACUUGGCAGUGAGAAAGAAUGAAAUCCGGCCAUUUACAGCAACAUGGAUGGAACUGGAGGGUAUUAUGCUAAGUGAAAUGAGUCAGGCAGAGAAAGACAGAUACCAUAUGUUUUCACUUUUAUGUGGAUCCUGAGAAACUUAACAGAAGACCAUGGGGGAGGGGAAGGGGGGAAAAAGUUACAGAGAGGGAGGGAGGCAAACCACAAGAGACUCUUAAAUACUGAGAACAAACUGAGGGUUGAUGGGGGGUGGGAGAGAGGGGAAAGUGGGUAACGGGCAUUGAGGAGGGCACCUGUUGGGAUGAGCACUGGGUGUUGUAUGGAAACCAAUUUGACAAUAAAGUAUAUUUAAAAAGACAAACAAAAAAAUAAAGUUUAAGAUCAACUCAUCAAUUUUUACAAAAAAGACAGUUGUGGGGCACCUGAGUGGCUCAGUUGGUUGGGCGCCGACUUCGACUCAGGUCAUGGUUUCAUGGUUUGUGGGUUCAAGCCCAAUCUGGCUCGGAGCUUGGAGCCUGCUUUGGUUCUGUGUCUCCCUCUCUCUCUGCCCAUCCCCCACUCAUGCCCCCAUUCAAAAAUAAAUGAACUUAAAAACUUUUUUUUUUUGACAAAAAAGCCACUUAGGAUUUGACUAAGGAUUAUAUUGAAUCUGUAGAUCGAUUAGGGAAAUAUUGCUAUCUUACUAAUUGUCUUCUAAUCCAUGAAAAUGAGAUGUUUUCUACUUAUGUAGAUUUCCUUUAAUUUCUUUCAAUAGUGUGUUAUAGUCUCAGAGUAUAUGUAUUUAAUUUCUUUUGUUAAAUCUGUUAUUUUGUGUGUAUGAUUCUAUUGUUAAUGGAAUUGUUUACUCAAUUUUGUUUUUGAAUUGUUCAUUGUUAAUGUAUAGAAUUCCAAAUGAUUAAAAAAAAUUUUUUUUAAUGUUUGUUUUUGAGAGAAAGAGAGAGAGACAGAGUGUGAGUUUGUGUGUGUGGUUGGGGGGUGGAGGGAGGACAGAGAGAGAGGUGGGCGCAGAGUCCAGGACCGGCUUCAGGCUCUGAGCUGCCGGCUCAGAGCCUGAAGUGGGGCUCCAGCUCACAGACCGUGGGAUCAUGACCUGAGCCGAAGUCGGACGCUUAAUUGUCUCCACCACCCAGGCACCCCCCCAAAUGAUUUUUUAAUAUUGAUCUUAUGUUCUCCAAUUUUGUUCAACUUGUUUAUUAAUCCUAUUUUUGUGUGUGUGUGGAUUCUUCAUGAUUAUCUAUAAUACAAGGUCAUAUGAUUUGCAGAACAGAGAUGGCUUUGCUGCUUCCAUUCUAAUCUGAAAGUUUUUUAUUUGUUUUACUUGUCUGUUCACCCUGGAUAAAACUUCCAGUGUUGAAUAGAAGUUGUGAGAGUAGAUAUCCUUUGUGUUGUUUCUUAUUUUAUGGGGGAAAGCAUUCAGGUUUUCACUAUUAAGUAUGAUGUUAGCUAUGGGUUUUCUGUAGAUGUCCCUCAAAAGGUUCAUGAAAUUUCAUGUAUUCCUAGUUUGUUAAGUGUUUUUUCUCAGGAAAGUAGUUGGGUUUUAUCAAUUGUUUUUCCUCUCUCUAUUGUGGUGAUCAUGUGGUUUUGUUCUUCAUUUUAUUAAUCUUAUGUAUUACACUGAUUUUUGGAUGUUAAACCAACUUUGCAUUCCUGGAAUAAAUCUUACUUGGCCAAAAAUAAUAAUAAUAAUAAUUAAUUAAUUAAUUCAAAAAAUUUUUUUCAGUUUAUUUAUUUGAGAGAGAAACAGAGAGAGCAAGUGGGGGAGGGGCAGAGAGAAAGGGAGAGAGAGAGAAUCCAAGCAGAUUCUGCACUGUCUGUGCAGAGCCCUACACGGGGCUCGAACUCACAAACAGAGUUCCUGACCUGAGCUGAAACCAAAAGUCGGAUGCUUAACCAACUGAGCCACCCAGGUGCCCCAGUAGGUCUUUUUUUCAAAUGUGUACUCAGAAAGGUUGAAUCCUUGGGAUGGUCCCUCAUUUUCGUUCUCACAGUUGCUUUCCACAAGAUAUUAGCUGAAUUCUCCUUCUCCCAUUCUCUGUUCAUGAUAGCUAUGGCUUGCCAGAAAUAAGUACUUCCAGUAUUCGAAGUCGAUAAUAUGCAUUUUUAUGAAAUUAUAUAUGACUAUAGUUUGGGAUGGAAACCUCGUGCUGAAUGCUAUUACAUUUUCAUUUUUUUCUGGCUUUUUUUCCAUUUUACUGUACUAAAUGGAUUUGCUUCAUUUCAUCACCAGACCUUAGAAUCAAAUGCUCCUUAUACAUCAGCGUAGGGAUUGAUUCAGUACUCUAUCAUGUGCACCUAACAUCUGGAACAGCAUAUGUGCCUAGCAAAUAUUUGCUGAAUAGCUCUAUCUGGGUCCAUCUUCCCACUCAGUCAGUGCAGGAAUAUUUUCAACCUUUUUCCUGAAGGAUGGUCCUUUGUAUAUUCUGCUUGAACCUUUCUAGUUCCAGGGAGUCUCUUUCUUCCUCCUUCUUUCCUGCUUCCUCUCCCUCCUCUUUUGGUAGAUCUAUGUUAAGUAAAUCUAUGCUGGGCACUGUGCUGGGCUCUUGAAUAUUAACUGAAAAUAUGCUACCUGCCCCUAUGGAAUUCACAGAUGAGUAGGGGAAAUACACAUUUAUUAAAGGGUCAAGCAAGAAAAGUAAAGAUAAAUGCUAAGAAGGAGAGCACAGAGAGAAAAGUGGCAUCCUCCAGGAGGUCAGGAAAGAUCCCAUGAAGAUGGGAGAACUGAGAUCUGAAGGAUGAAUGGGAGAGUGCUUGUUCAAGACUUGGAGGUGGGGAGGAGCUUGUUGUGCACCAGGGACUGAAAGAAGGUCAGUGUGGCUAUAGCCACUGAGAAAGCGGGGGAGUGGGAAUAAGCUGGGGCUGGGACCCAAAAGGAAGGCCUUCCACAAAGGGUCUUAUAAACUCUGCUAAUGAACUUGGACUUCAUCCUAAAAGCGCUGGGAAACCCUCCAGUGAUUUUUACAAGGGGGUGACAUGAUCGAGUUGGCAUCCCGCUCACUGCUGGAUGGUGUGUGUGUGUGUGUGUGUGUGUGUGUGUGUGUGUGUGUGUGUGUUACAAAGUUCUUCCAUCUAUUAACUUAAAACUGCCUUCAUGUGACUUUAUCUCACUGGACUUUGUUCUGUCUCUUUUCUGGAGCUGUACAGAAAUAAAUCCACUGCCUUUUCUCAAGGAUGCCUUUUCAAACUGCAUUUCUGUUUCAACUUCUUACUAUCCUGAUCACAUUCUUCUGUACUUUACAAUUUUAUCAAUCUUCCUAAUGAAAUGUGGCUCAUGGAGUUGAGUACAAUCCUUCAGAAAGUUUUGGAGAAUAAAAGAUAUGCUAUUUUCUGUGCUCUGGCCACUAUCCACCAACAGUUUUAUAUUAUGUUUGUCAUUUAUCAAGCAAUCUUAAGCCCCAACCUUUUGAAGUGCAAAGCUAAUAAAUCACGGGGUCUCUCCCAUUCUGUUUUUGCUCCAUUUUUAUAGCACAAAUAAAUAUAAUAGCUCUGGGGUUCAGCCCUGACACUGCCACCAACUUGCUGUAUAAUCUUGGAAAUGUCAUAGAUUCUCUCUGGGGCUCUGUGCUUUACAGAGGGGAGAACUUCUUUUCCCACUCCUGAUGUAUCUCUUUGUGUGGUAGGAACCCCAUUCCUCAGUGAGUCUUGGGCUCCAUCCCUCUCACUCAGUUUCCCCAGAAGAGGAGUGACUUAAUCUAAUGGGUGAGUUUGGAAGGAGAAUAUGGACAUCCAUAACUCAUGCCUUACACUCUCCUCUUUCUUUGGGAGCAAACUGGUCCACAGAAAGGAUGUGCCCUGGCCUGCUCCCCUGUCCUGAAAGUUUUGCAAGGGGUUUGAGCCCCCAGGGAGGCCUGCAGCAAGUCCAGUGGGGUUCCCUAUUGGAGGCCCACUUGCCUGCAGACAUAAGCCAGUUAUUUCAUUAUCAACUUUAUCAGUAAUAAAGUGAUAAUUCUAUCCCCAACUGCCUUAUGUUAUUAUCCUAUUUCUCAGUUGGUUCAGAUACAGUACUAUUUAUUGGGCUCUCCCAAACAGUGAAAGGGUAACCAAUGUUCAUUUUCUAAAAGUCCUUGUCUCUAAAAACAGGACUUUGCAUUUAUUCUAUUAAGUGUUUUUAGGCUGGUUCCAGUCUGUUCUUCAUUACAGCCAAAAUUAGCACUAAUUGGUACCCAGUAGUCUGGAGGAGUUAACUCACGUCCUUAACCUAUUAGCUAACUCCAACAAAGUGAUGUUGACCCUAGAGUACAUGCUAGAAAAAGAAUGCAGCAGGCUGAAAUAUUGCCAUAGCAUUAUUGUCAAUGCCAUAUUACAAUUAUAUGGAAGCUACCAUUAGUAAAAUGCUAUUUCUUUGAAAGGCUCAAAAUCAGAUCUGCUUUGCAUUUAAUUCCAUUCUAUUGUAACUAAUGUCACAGAAGGUCCUAUGCUACACAUAUGACAUAUCCUCUGAAAAGUUUGUCCAUGGUUCCUGUCAUGCAACAAAAGCAGAACUAAUCAUACACAUUGGUGAUGGUACUGUGUCAAAUUGUUAGUAAUGGUAGUUUAUAUUUGCCUACUUCUUUAUGUAAUUCAAAGAACUUUCAGCUACAGUAGCUCAGUUGGGCUUCCCAGCAGCCCUGUGCAAUAGACAGGGUAAGAAUUAUUGUCUUCAUUUUACAAAUGAGGAAACAGGCUCAGAAGCAUUCAAUAAUAUGUCCCAAACUGCACAGUAUAUUUAGUAAUGGAGUCAGAACAGAACACAGACUUGCAAAUGUUGUCUAAAAUUUGCCUCUAAUUCCUAUGGCCACUCCAAUUAUGUAUUAUCUUCCACCCUGAAGGGGCUCUUAUUUAUGACCCUCAUAUAGGUGUGAAUAUCACACGUUCAUCACUGGACCCACUGUUCCUAGUAAAUUGCCUCUUCAUGUGGUUCACUAGUGUCCAUAACACAAGGCUUGCCUGCAUUAGAUCCAGCUCCCCCCCACUCCAUCGCCCCCAGGUGCUGCUCUUUCAGCACCAUGUUUAAUGUGGAACGGCAAAAGCAUUUUUGAUUUUUUAAAGAGCAUGGAGAAAAUGUGUUUGAUAUCCACCUUCUUUUUUUCUCUUUUGACUUGGUCUUAUAAUAUUAAUGCAUAGUGGGAAUGACUCUAAGACCAUAGGUGUUAAUAGUCUAAACAGACUAUUUAGCUUCCAUUCCUGGCUCUGCCAAUUACUCUUUGUUUUAGAGCAAGUUACUCAAUCUACUUGCCUUAUUUUGGGUUCUUCUGAAAGCAGAGACUGAAAUAGGAACUUGCGUGAAGAUGAUUUACUUCAGAAGUGAUCCCAGGAAGCAGAGGUGGGAAAAUUGACAUUUGAAAAGAGGAAAAGCCAAUAAGAGGUAUAUUAAUGAUUUCGUUGCUCUUGUGUGCAAAUGAGACCCAUUUGUGCUGGGGACCUUCUAGGGACCUGUAUAGAACUGUCUCAUCACAAGAUGGGGAUACUGGUGUAUUUACCCACUGAUUCCUACAUCCAUUGGUUGAGAGUAGACCCUUAGGUCAUUGUCUUCACCACUCCCCUUCUAGAUUGCUGCAUGGCUGAGCAGCUUCCCAAGACUUCAAGGAAACUCCUGUGGCAGCAAAGCAGAGAAAUGCUGAGGCCCAGAAUUGAUGUGGGAUCCAGCAACAUGCAUGGAACUCUACAUCCAAGAUGUGCUGAAAUCAAACAUACUAGGGCAUGAAACAUGGUCUUUCACAAGCAUCUGUUACUACCCUUAGGUCUUUAUUAUUGCAUCUAUGCUGAGGGGCUGCAAGAUACUUCUUCAUAGAGUGAUAAGAUGAUUAAAUGAGAUAGUGAACAGUACCUGGCAAAGUUGAUUUGUUACAUAUUAGUGAUAAUGAUAAUGAGAUAAGUUAUUUAUCUUAUACUAAAUCUAUAGUAAUUAAGGUCAAUAGGCAGUUCAUAUAUUUGCCAUGUCUGUGUGAUUAUAUUAUUGGUCAGACUAUAACUAAUCUGA